AUUGAACGCUGGCGGCAGGCCUAACACAUGCAAGUCGAGCGGAUGAAGGGAGCUUGCUCCUGGAUUCAGCGGCGGACGGGUGAGUAAUGCCUAGGAAUCUGCCUGGUAGUGGGGGAUAACGUCCGGAAACGGGCGCUAAUACCGCAUACGUCCUGAGGGAGAAAGUGGGGGAUCUUCGGACCUCACGCUAUCAGAUGAGCCUAGGUCGGAUUAGCUAGUUGGUGGGGUAAAGGCCUACCAAGGCGACGAUCCGUAACUGGUCUGAGAGGAUGAUCAGUCACACUGGAACUGAGACACGGUCCAGACUCCUACGGGAGGCAGCAGUGGAGAAUAUUGGACGAUGGGCGAAAGCCUGAUCCAGCCAUGCCGCGUGUGUGAAGAAGGUCUUCGGAUGGGAAAGCACUUUAAGUUGGGAGGAAGGGCAGUAAGUUAAUACCUGGCUGUUUUGACGUUACCAACAGAAUAAGCACCGGCUAACUUCGUG
rnacentral:rRNA from 1 species